rnacentral:rRNA from 1 species
AUUGAACGCUGGCGGCAUGCCUUACACAUGCAAGUCGAACGGCAGCACGGGAGCAAUCCUGGUGGCGAGUGGCGAACGGGUGAGUAAUAUAUCGGAACGUGCCCAGUCGUGGGGAUAACGUAGCGAAAGCUACGCUAAUACCGCAUACGAUCUAUGGAUGAAAGCGGGGGAUCGCAAGACCUCGCGCGAUUGGAGCGGCCGAUAUCAGAUUAGGUAGUUGGUGAGGUAAAGGCUCACCAAGCCGACGAUCUGUAGCUGGUCUGAGAGGACGACCAGCCACACUGGGACUGAGACACGGCCCAGACUCCUACGGGAGGCAGCAGUGGGGAAUUUUGGGACAAUGGGCGCAGGCCUGAUCCAGCAAUGCCGCGUGCAGGAUGAAGGCCUCGGUUGUAACUAGCUUUGUUACGGU